CUCUCUCUCUCUCUAAGAGUGAUCAGAAGGAGGAUGUUGGAGGAUCAGCUGAGUCCUGAUGAUCCGAGAGCUUGAAGCAGCAGCAUCACCUCUAACUGGGCCAUGUUACUGGGAGGUAGAGUGGAGAGACUGACUGAGGCUCUGCACGGUUCAUCAUUAGCAAUGACACGUGGUCAUGAAAGAAGUAUGUCGGGCAAGUUGAUUGGCCGACAUCAGCCUCUCCUGGUCAGUGACGGUGGCUCUGUCUCCAUCAGAAUCAGCUGACUCAGCAUACGUCAGACUACAGAGUGGAGCCAAGUGUGUAGAGCAUAUGUUUGCUAACAUUUCACAUUUUAACAUCAAUGGUAAACUUCACUGUCGUCGCUGCAGGACAGUCACCUGUUUGUCAGAUAAACUUAACUGCACCGCCCGCUGAAACAACCGUUACCUCACAGAGCCCUUUAC